GAUGAACGCUAGCUACAGGCUUAACACAUGCAAGUCGAGGGGCAGCAUGGUCUUAGCUUGCUAAGGCCGAUGGCGACCGGCGCACGGGUGAGUAACACGUAUCCAACCUGCCGUCUACUCUUGGACAGCCUUCUGAAAGGAAGAUUAAUACAAGAUGGCAUCAUGAGUCCACAUGUUCACAUGAUUAGAGGUAUUCCGGUAGACGAUGGGGAUGCGUUCCAUUAGAUAGUAGGCGGGGUAACGGCCCACCUAGUCUUCGAUGGAUAGGGGUUCUGAGAGGAAGGUCCCCCACAUUGGAACUGAGACACGGUCCAAACUCCUACGGGAGGCAGCAGUGAGGAAUAUUGGUCAAUGGGCGAGAGCCUGAACCAGCCAAGUAGCGUGAAGGAUGACUGCCCUAUGGGUUGUAAACUUCUUUUAUAAAGGAAUAAAGUCGGGUAUGUAUACCCGUUUGCAUGUACUUUAUGAAUAAGGAUCGGCUAACUCCGUGCCAGCAGCCGCGGUAAUACGGAGGAUCCGAGCGUUAUCCGGAUUUAUUGGGUUUAAAGGGAGCGUAGAUGGAUGUUUAAGUCAGUUGUGAAAGUUUGCGGCUCAACCGUAAAAUUGCAGUUGAUACUGGAUAUCUUGAGUGCAGUUGAGGCAGGCGGAAUUCGUGGUGUAGCGGUGAAAUGCUUAGAUAUCACGAAGAACUCCGAUUGCGAAGGCGGCCUGCUAAGCUG
rnacentral:rRNA from 1 species